rnacentral:rRNA from 1 species
UACAGAGACCUCAAGCGUUAUCCGGAAUCAUUGGGCGUAAAGCGUACCGAUAGGUGGUCUAAAAAGUCAGAAGUGAAAUCUCAAGGCUCAACUUUGAGACUGUCUUUUGAAACUUUUAGACUAGAGGGGCAAAGAGGAAGCUGGAACGAACGGUGUAGUAGUGAAAUGCGUUGAUAUCGUUCGGAACACCAAUAGCGAAGGCGGGCUUCUGGGUGCCACCUGACACUGCUAGGACGAAAGCGUGGGGGGCGAAUGGG